rnacentral:rRNA from 1 species
CCUACGGGUGGCAGCAGUGAGGAAUAUUGGUCAAUGGACGCAAGUCUGAACCAGCCAUGCCGCGUGCAGGAAGACGGCUCUAUGAGUUGUAAACUGCUUUUGUACGAGGGUAAAUCCCGAUACGUGUAUCCUGUUGCAUGUACCCUACGAAUAAGGAUCGGCUAACUCCGUUCCAGCAGCCGCGGUAAUACGGAGGAUCCAAGCGUUAUCCGGAUUUAUUGGGUUUAAAGGGUGCGUAGGCGGUUCGUUAAGUUAGAGGUGAAAUCCCGGGGCUCAACUCCGGCACUGCCUCUGAUACUGUCGGGCUAGAGUUUAGUUGCGGUAGGCGGAAUGUAUGGUGUAGCGGUGAAAUGCAUAGAGAUCAUGCAGAACACCGAUUGCGAAGGCAGCUUACCAAACUGCGACUGACGUUGAGGCACGAAAGCGUGGGGAGCAAACAGGAUUAGAUACCCUUGUAGUC